rnacentral:tRNA from 1 species
AGUAACUUCGGCUUGGGCUGGAUAAAACAUGCUCACAGCAUCUGUGGGAUUUAAACAUGUUUCUGUCGAAGCUUCGUGAUUUAAAGUCUCGAAUGUGAUCUUGGCACUAGAACACGAACAGUAGAAUGCUAAAAACUAAAGUGCAGUUUUCCUCCGCUCCACUGGGCGGCGCAAGCGGGGUUCAGCUUCGGCUGCUUGAAGACGCUCGAGUCACAACAACACGCGCAGCUCCUGCAGAUGACCGCUGUUUAUAUCGCUUCAACAGCACAUAUUUCAGCUCAGCUGCAACUGAAAUCCGAUGAAACGCUGGACCCGAGUGUCAAGCGACUCACCUAGUAAGUGCUGUGCUGUGGAUUGUAAAGCAGAGCUCUGGGACGUGUGGACAGACAGAGACUGUAAUGAUGCUCAUCUGCUCGUGGACAGUCUGUCUAAAAGCAUAACCGCUGCUGGUCACGGCGCCGGACGCUCCAGAGGGAGACCGUACUGGUAUCCCCCUUCUUCAGGCGCGCCUUCACACUCACUCCAGCAUUCACUCAUAUCACAGAGACCCGGCUGGGAUCGAACCAGCAACCUCUGAACCCGUGAGGCAGCGCUCUUACCAGUGAGCCACAGGUCUCUUGUCGAGCUGUGUGAAGGAACUUCUGUUUGACUCUUUACCUGUAUGUGACCCGUGUUUCUCCAAUAAAGCAGUUAAAGUGUGUGGGAUCUGAACCCGCGUCUCCAGCACAGCCGUGUCUUCAGACACGUGUGUUUAUCCACUGAACCAGCACAGACUUCACAUUCAUUUCUGGAGUUUGAGUGGUUUUGUUGGAUGAGAUCAAUGUAAAGUAAGCAAUAGUGGGAUCUGAACUCAGAUCUUCAUGAUUGAAACACAGCGCUUGAUCUCCUGUGCCUCUGAGUCUGUGGAGCUGCUGAAGGUUUUAAACAGGG